AACGAACGCUGGCGGCAUGCCUAACACAUGCAAGUCGAACGAGACCUUCGGGUCUAGUGGCGCACGGGUGCAUAACGCGUGGGAACCUGCCCUUAGGUUCGGAAUAACUCCCCGAAAGGGGUGCUAAUACCGGAUAAUGUCUUCGGACCAAAGAUUUAUCGCCUUUGGAUGGGCCCGCGUUGGAUUAGCUAGUUGGUAGGGUAAAAGCCUACCAAGGCGACGAUCCAUAGCUGGUCUGAGAGGAUGAUCAGCCACACUGGGACUGAGACACGGCCCAGACUCCUACGGGAGGCAGCAGUGGGGAAUAUUGGACAAUGGGCGAAAGCCUGAUCCAGCAAUGCCGCGUAAGUGAUGAAGGCCUUAGGGUUGUAAAGCUCUUUUACCCGGGAUGAUAAUGACAGUACCGGGAGAAUAAGCUCCGGCUAACUCCGUG
rnacentral:rRNA from 1 species